rnacentral:rRNA from 1 species
AUCUACCUAGUAGUAUGGAAUAGCCAUUAGAAAUGAUGGGUAAUACUGUAUAAUCCCUGCGGGGGAAAGAUUUAUCGCUAUUAGAUGAGCCUACGUUAGAUUAGCUAGUUGGUAAGGUAAUGGCUUACCAAGGCUAUGAUCUAUAGCUGGUCUGAGAGGACGAUCAGCCACACUGGAACUGAGAUACGGUCCAGACUCCUACGGGAGGCAGCAGUGGGGAAUAUUGGACAAUGGGCGAAAGCCUGAUCCAUCUAUGCCGCGUGAGUGAA